rnacentral:lncRNA from 1 species
GUUAAGGCUAGAAGGCAUACAGCAAAAACUACUGGGCAUGCGCACAUCAAUAUAGUGUAUUUUUUCUCACACUGUUCAACAAUAAUUACUAUUUUUGCAUUAUUGUAAGGGGUAGGUGUAGACGUUAAUAAAACACAAUCUAAUAGGUAGAAAAUUUCAAUUUAUUGUUAGCUUCCGGUUCGCAACCCACCAUAAAAUCAAAAGAAGAAGAAGAAGUAUGGGAUUACUCAGUGCACCUGUGGAAACAGACAAUAUUUGAUCAGGAAUCCUUCAGUCAUGAAGACACAUGCUCUUAAUCAAAUCUAAUCGGGUCCCACUGGAUUCAUACGGGUCUCCAAAAC